rnacentral:rRNA from 1 species
UACGGAGGGUGCAAGCGUUAUCCGGAUUCACUGGGUUUAAAGGGUGCGUAGGCGGGUUGGUAAGUCAGUGGUGAAAUCUUCAAGCUUAACUUGGAAACUGCCGUUGAUACUAUCAAUCUUGAAUAUUGUGGAGGUAAGCGGAAUAUGUCAUGUAGCGGUGAAAUGCUUAGAUAUGACAUAGAACACCGAUAGCGAAGGCAGCUUGCUACACAGUUAUUGACGCUGAGGCACGAAAGCGUGGGGAUCAAACAGG